AGACAAGGUCUCGCUCUGUUACCCAGGCUGGAGGAGUGGAGACUGAGGAGCCAGGUGGCGGCGACGCCUUAAGAGUGAGAACUCUGAGGGGGUAGUGAAGGUUAAGGGCUGCAUUUGUGGGGCUGCUCCAGGUUCCAUUGCCUGAGCCACCGAACUCAGGAGAGAGGGAAGAUUUGGAAUUAAGAAAAUAAAAGAUGCAGUUAUGACAGUGCGAUCUCGUAGACUGUCCCCACUAGAACCUGACACUCUUUACAUCAAAUGACACACAAUGAACAUAAUGAAGGCCUGUUGGCCCUGGGCGCUGGUCACCCUGGACAGAACCUCCAGAAUCCACACCAUAGUCGGUCCUCCUUCUGCACACGAAUUCCAUCGUCCAAGGUCACGGAGUAAAAGAUGGAGCGGGGAUCCGACCCCAGUGCAGGGCUGGACUCCUGGCCGCUCCAGGAUGCUGCCAGUUACUGGGGGACGCGCGGGACGCCUCUGGGUUCCCCCACCGCACCCCCUAGGGUGAGGUUAGCUUAGCACCGUGCCCGUUCCGCCUAAGGGGAAACUGAGGCUCGGAGAGGGGUGGGCAGCCGCCUGCUCAAGGCCAC
rnacentral:lncRNA from 1 species